rnacentral:rRNA from 1 species
UAACGGCGAGUGAAGCGGCAACAGCUCAAAUUUGAAAUCUGGCUCUCGGGCCCGAGUUGUAAUUUGUAGAGGAUGUUUCUGGCGACGUGUCUUCCGAGUUCCCUGGAACGGGACGCCAUAGAGGGUGAGAGCCCCGUCCGGUCGUACGCCUAGCCUCUGUGAAACUCCUUCGACGAGUCGAGUAGUUUGGGAAUGCUGCUCAAAAUGGGAGGUAUACGUCUUCUAAAGCUAAAUACCGGCCAGAGACCGAUAGCGCACAAGUAGAGUGAUCGAAAGAUGAAAAGCACUUUGAAAAGAGGGUUAAAUAGUACGUGAAAUUGCUGAAAGGGAAGCGCUCAUGACCAGACUUGGGCUCGGCGAAUCAUCCGGCGUUCUCGCCGGUGCACUUUACCGGCCCAGGCCAGCAUCAGCUCGCCCCGGGGGAUAAAGGCUUCGGGAAUGUAGCUCCCUCGUGGAGUGUUAUAGACCGUUGCGUAAUACCCUGGGGUGGG